CCCUACGGGGGGCAGCAGUAGGGAAUCUUCCACAAUGGGCGCAAGCCUGAUGGAGCAACACCGCGUGAGUGAAGAAGGGGUUCGGCUCGUAAAGCUCUGUUGGUGGGGAGGAAAGGGCGUGAGAGAAACUGUUCGCGCAGGGACGGUAUCCAACCAGAAAGUCACGGCUAACUACGUGCCAGCAGCCGCGGUAAUACGAAGGGGGCAAGCGUUAUCCGGAUUUAUUGGGCGUAAAGCGAGCG
rnacentral:rRNA from 1 species